rnacentral:rRNA from 1 species
CCCUUAGAUGUCCUGGGCCGCACGCGCGUUACACUGAUGCAUUCAACGAGCUUAUAACCUUGGCCGAGAGGUCUGGGCAAUCUUGUUAACGUGCAUCGUGAUAGGGAUAGAUUAUUGAAAUUAUUAAUCUUGAACGAGGAAUUCCUAGUAAACGCAGAUCAUCAAUCUGCAUUGAUUACGUCCCUGCCCUUUGUACACACCGCCCGUCGCACCUACCGAUUGGAUGGUCCGGUGAAGCCUCGGGAUUGUGGUUCUUGCCGCUUUAUUGUAGCGUGACCGCGAGAACUUGUCUAAACCUUAUCAUCUAGAGGAAGGUGAAGUCGUAACA